rnacentral:rRNA from 1 species
UACGUAGGGGGCAAGCGUUGUCCGGAAUCAUUGGGCGUAAAGAGCGUGUAGGCGGCUCGGUAAGUCCGCUGUGAAAGUCCAGGGCUCAACCCUGGAAUGCCGGUGGAAACUGUCGAGCUAGAGUCCGGAAGAGGCGAGUGGAAUUCCUGGUGUAGCGGUGAAAUGCGCAGAUAUCAGGAGGAACACCAUGGCGAAGGCAGCUCGCUGGGACGGUACUGACGCUGAGACGCGAAAGCGUGGGGAGCAAACAGG